rnacentral:rRNA from 1 species
GCCAGACUCCUACGGGAGGCAGCAGUGGGGAAUAUUGCACAAUGGGGGGAACCCUGAUGCAGCGACGCCGCGUGGGCGAUGGAGUGCUUCGGCAUGUAAAGCCCUAUCAGCAGGGAAGAAAAUGACGGUACCUGACUAAAAAGCCCCGGCUAACUACGUGCCAGCAGCCGCGGUAAUACGUAGGGGGCAAGCGUUAUCCGGAUUUACUGGGUGUAAAGGGGGCGCAGACGGCAGCGCAAGCCAGGGGUGAAAGCCCGGGGCCCAACCCCGGGACUGCUCUUGGAACUGCGCGGCUGGAGUGCAGGAGGGGCAGGCGGAAUUCCUGGUGUAGCGGUGAAAUGCGUAGAUAUCAGGAGGAACACCGGUGGCGAAGGCGGCCUGCUGGACUGCGACUGACGUUGAGGCCCGAAAGCGUGGGGAGCAAACAGGAUUAGAUACCCUCGUA